AUACUAAGUAACCAUUAUCAAUUAUAUUUUUUAUUAAACGUAUAAAUAAUAAAUUAGAAGGAAGUUACGCAAUAAUUUAUAAGAAGCGCAAAACUGUAAUUGUUUUAUUUAUAAAAACACAUUAUAUUCUGACGAUAAAUGUACCGAUUAAUGCGACUGUAUUAUCGCUUACGUUUAAUUUAUCGCGAAUUUGAAGGCAACAGGAAUUUAUGAAGUUACCGAAGUAUCUGUUAUGAACGUAGACACAGAUACGAGGAUAUAUUGAUCUGACACAGGACAUGUCAAAAUAACUGUGCAACCGAUUACCAAGAGUAUAGUCACUCUGUUAAUUUAUUGAUCAUGAUAAUGUCCAGCACAGUAAAUUAAUGAGACUGCAAUGGCCUUGCCGAGAGAACCGAUGUACACAAAUAGAUAAUUUAUUACGCGCAUUAUUAUAUUAUACAUUCCACAGAAUGAUUUGUACAUGAUUGUUCAAAAAUAAAAAUUGCAAUCGAUUAUUGCUAUUGAUGAAAUAAUAAAACUUAUGUUAUUCUAAUGUAUGAUUUUAUUUUUAUAAUUAUAUGCUACUUUAAUAAAAAUAUAAGAAAAAAAUUUUGUAUUUUAUUGGUCAUAAAACACAAUAUAUUUUAUUGAUAUUUACGAUUAAUAUUUUAUUUAGAUUUACUAUAUUGUACAAAUUUAUUUUUUCUAUUUCCAUGUAUAUCUCUUUAAAGUCUAGAGAAGGGUCUGACUAAAAAUAAAACAAAAGUCUAUUAUUAACAAAUUUUUUUAAAUUUCAUUGACUUUAAUGCAGUAGAAUUAGAAAUGUUUAAUCUUCUUAUCCAACGUACUAUUCAGCUUACAUGCUUACAUCGUAUAUAUCUAUGUCUGCCUUGAAAUAAUAAUCCAGUAUGAUCACAGAAAUAACCCAACCCGAAACUGUCAUGAUUCUCGUGAGUCACUUUAGUUUCACUGCAAAUGGUUAACGAAGGCUAUCUACACAAUCCUAGUUCAUAUAAUUUCUCGAUGUACCAUGUGUUUUGAAGAAAUAUUCGAAAUCUCAUUUGCUAUGCAUUGUUAUUGUAAUUUAUUAGACCUUGGAUUGUGCGUGUAAUUCAUGGCAUAAAUUGAAUUUUUCCUUGUGUCGUUGAUGAAGAAUUCUCAUAAAUUUAUCAUGGUGAAUGAUUAUGUAUCUCAUAAAUUUAUUGUGACGAAUUAUUAUUGAUUUUGAAGUUAUUACGAUGGAUGAUUAUCAAUCUCAUAAAUCAAGCAAAAAUUUAUUAUAAGAGAUUCUGUAAUGUUAUCACGCAGGUAUAAAUGCAAUGACAAUAGCAAGCUUUACUUCUUCUGGUAAGUGUGACUUGUUCAAAUAGAAGCAUAUAUCACGGAGUUUUCUACUUUAUCCGCCUUCAAUAAUAUCGUGUAAUGUAAUGAACUCAAAUGCACUUAUUGGAUACAGAUAAGUAAUAUAAUACUCUAAUUUGAGGCCUUAAUUUAAUUUUCUUUGGUAUUAUUAUAAAAAAUAAAUUUUAUUAUUAUUUGAAAAGAGAAAAACAUGAUUUUUCAAUAAAAGCUAAAACUUAGUAAAACAAUAUAGUCUAUGUAAAACUUCAAAAUUAAAAUUUUAUAUACAAAGCUUCGGUAUCACUUUUCAUAUAUAAAUUGUAAUUAUUAGAUUUUAUACAUAUGUUUUUAUGACAUACAAAUUGCAAUUUAAAUAAUAAAGAAAAAUAAUUUUACAAAUUUAAAAUUCCAAGUAUUUAAAACAUUCUGUUAAACAUAUAUUUUCUAUUUUAAAGAACAUACUUAUAAAUGUUGUAUUGGUAGAAUAGAUAAAAUACUUUUGUAUGAUGAGAUAUAUAACGCGUUGCAUGAAAAUGUUUUAAAGAUCAGAAAGAACAUUCAUAAUUCAUAAGGCUCAACGAGUCACAUACGGAUUGUACAAAUUGCACAAAAUAAUGCUUUUAAUUAAUUGUUUUUGCUAGUUGAUUGAAAUUUUCGUAUGUUAAUCACGGUUCAAUGUCCAAUAGAAUUCAAAAUAAUACGAUAUUAUUACAGUUUAAAUACAUUGAUUAACUACAAUUAAUACAGUAGUUUUGUUACAUGUUAUGUAAGUAUAUAACUCACAAUUGAUUGAUUAAUUUCUCUAGUAACAAAUUAAUUAAAAAUUUAUUUAUUAACAUUGUAAUCAAGUUUCUUGUUAUUAUGUAACUUACUUGAAAGUAAUUAUUCUUUUUAUUAUUUUUAUAUUUUGUUAAAUUAUAACAUAAUUACACAUUUGUACAUUAAAUAAUAAAAAUAAUAAGCUCUACACAGAUCUAAAACAAAGUCUAAGAGUCUAGAAAAGUUUAUAUAAAAAAUUCAGUGCACAAUACAGAGCAUCAUAUUUAUCAAUUGCAGAUUAAAAAUUGCAACGCCUUUUUCGAGAAUCAAAGACUAAUGGUAAUAAUCACAUCAAUUACGUUUGAAAUCUCGGCCGAAAAUGCGCAAGGGAGUUACCUAGAUGACAAGUUGGCACCGUUGUCGAAUUGUUGAAAUUUGCAGUGGGGGGUCCUUGCAGACGUCCAAGCUUACUGGCGCAAUUUGUCGGGUUGCCCUCGCUUGGCAUCUGAAUGCAAGCAUGCACUGCAGUUCUCCAGGAUUGCCGAAUCACUACGGAAUCCUGCCUCCGUUGGACGUUCUUCGCGUACAUGAGCUAUGUGCUUAUAGAGAUGUGCGAAGUGCCGUAGCCCGAUAAUAUCAGCAAAGUGGACAAUCACAGACACCGACGUCGCGAUACCCAAUCACUUGAGUAUUACGUAAUCAAUGAAAGUCGCAGCUACCAACACAUUCGCAAUCUUGUUUAAAAGUUUAUUUAUUGCGUAAUAUCUAAGUAUGUUAUUAUUUUUCAAUAUAUGUUUUAUUCUCUUCUAUUAAUUCUGCCUUCUUUUUAUCCAAAUUAAAUUUUAAGUCGUAACUAAAUAAAUAACACUUGCAAUAUUUUAAUGUUAAUUUAGUUAAUUUAGAAUUCAAUAAAUUUAAUUAGCAACUAUAUACAUUGUAUUAUAAUAUAUAGAUAAUAUAUAGAUGAAGUAAUCUGUAAUUAUAUAAAAUAAGUAUUAGUAAAUGUUUGAUUAAACAUUUCAUUUUUUAAUUAGGAGUUUCUGCUUCUAGUGAAGACGUAAAUAUAUUUCUUAAGCAAAACAAGAUUCUGAAUUCAUAUCGACUGAAUUUUAAUGACCUGCGAUCGUUUCUAAGUAGAGUUGAUUUUCUAAUCCCAUGCCAGAUUCAAAAUGAACUCAAUUAAGUCGAUGACCAUUCAAUCGUCUCUCCGUUUAAUUGAGUUUAUCUUACGAUCAAGUACAAGAAGUAAAGCGGAUGUUUACCUGAAAUCAUUAUUUAUUUCAAGAAAGAACGUGAUCUCAGGCGGGAUUAAUUGCAUAAGAAUUCCGUCGCGCAAGAAACAGGAGUUUGAUAAAAGAGCACAUAUUGACGGAGAUAUUUUCUUCUUUGCCGAAGUUUGAAGGCAGACACCUGAAUCAACAUCGAGUGCCGCGCACUUUCCCGCGAAAGCAGCUCACGUUUUGCGAGGCCGCUGUUGAUUCUGACAGAUUUGCCCGAAAGAGCUGUCAAACAAAACUCGAAACUUUCAGGGAAGAUUCUACUUCGGUAAACGAAACAAAGCCAAAUCUUCUCUAUACAUUACACAUGAUUUCCGAGACAGGAUAGUACAUCAUGGAUUAUGACCUCCGAACUUGUUGGUAAUAAAAGAGACACCCCUCUGUGGCUUUGGAGAGAGCCGGAUCACAGUUUGGAAAUUCUAUAGCGAUAACUCGAUUUAAACUGAGAGUCAACUCCUGCCGCUGAAACAUCGCGAACUGCGUCGGACUUGAAAUUAAUAGUAACUUCUGUGCUCGCGAGCGUAUCCGUUGAGUGCUUUGACUACAUAUACGAAGCAAAAUCUCGACGGUAAUACGGAGGUAAUUUCCAUCGAGGACACUUUGACUCCAAUCAAGUUUGUGCGCCGCGAGCUAGCUUAAAAUUCCGUCGUCUUGAAUAUCUAACUUUUACUAGGUCAUCGCAUGUUUCUUGAAAAAUAUUCAAUGGUUCCUAUAUCUUGAACGUUUUUUAAAACGCGUAUACUUGCAGUGUAGCUUUGGCAUUAACAUGAUUUUAAUUGUCAUAUGUACAUUGUCUCUAAUUAUCUCUUAGGAAAUUAAUAUUAUCGUACAAGAUUUUCUCAAUCGAUUGUGUCAUCAAUUCUACUUGAAAAGAACGGUUUUAGAAUGCUCAAGCAAAAUGAAAAUGCUGCAAAAAUUUUGACAUCCUAGAAACUAGUUUAAUUGAGAAUCUUGAUAAUUUAAUCUAAUAAAUUAUUUUCAAAUCUGUAUCCAACUAUAUUUUUAGAUA